rnacentral:rRNA from 1 species
GGGUUGUGAGGUUAAGCGACUAAGCGUACACGGUGGAUGCCCUGGCAGUCAGAGGCGAUGAAGGACGUGCUAAUCUGCGAUAAGCGUCGGUAAGGUGAUAUGAACCGUUAUAACCGGCGAUUUCCGAAUGGGGAAACCCAGUGUGUUUCGACACACUAUCAUUAACUGAAUCCAUAGGUUAAUGAGGCGAACCGGGGGAACUGAAACAUCUAAGUACCCCGAGGAAAAGAAAUCAACCGAGAUUCCCCAGUAGCGGCGAGCGAACGGGGAGCAGCCCAGAGCCUGAAUCAGUAUGUGUGUUAGUGGAAGCGUCUGGAAAGGCGCGCGAUACAGGGUGACAGCCCCGUACACAAAAAUGCACAUAUUGUGAGCUCGAUGAGUAGGGCGGGACACGUGGUAUCCUGUCUGAAUAUGGGGGGACCAUCCUCCAAGGCUAAAUACUCCUGACUGACCGAUAGUGAACCAGUACCGUGAGGGAAAGGCGAAAAGAACCCCGGCGAGGGGAGUGAAAAAGAACCUGAAACCGUGUACGUACAAGCAGUGGGAGCACGCUUAGGCGUGUGACUGCGUACCUUUUGUAUAAUGGGUCAGCGACUUAUAUUCUGUAGCAAGGUUAACCGAAUAGGGGAGCCGAAGGGAAACCGAGUCUUAACUGGGCGUUAAGUUGCAGGGUAUAGACCCGAAACCCGGUGAUCUAGCCAUGGGCAGGUUGAAGGUUGGGUAACACUAACUGGAGGACCGAACCGACUAAUGUUGAAAAAUUAGCGGAUGACUUGUGGCUGGGGGUGAAAGGCCAAUCAAACCGGGAGAUAGCUGGUUCUCCCCGAAAGCUAUUUAGGUAGCGCCUCGUGAAUUCAUCUCCGGGGGUAGAGCACUGUUUCGGCAAGGGGGUCAUCCCGACUUACCAACCCGAUGCAAACUGCGAAUACCGGAGAAUGUUAUCACGGGAGACACACGGCGGGUGCUAACGUCCGUCGUGAAGAGGGAAACAACCCAGACCGCCAGCUAAGGUCCCAAAGUCAUGGUUAAGUGGGAAACGAUGUGGGAAGGCCCAGACAGCCAGGAUGUUGGCUUAGAAGCAGCCAUCAUUUAAAGAAAGCGUAAUAGCUCACUGGUCGAGUCGGCCUGCGCGGAAGAUGUAACGGGGCUAAACCAUGCACCGAAGCUGCGGCAGCGACACUAUGUGUUGUUGGGUAGGGGAGCGUUCUGUAAGCCUGUGAAGGUGUGCUGUGAGGCAUGCUGGAGGUAUCAGAAGUGCGAAUGCUGACAUAAGUAACGAUAAAGCGGGUGAAAAGCCCGCUCGCCGGAAGACCAAGGGUUCCUGUCCAACGUUAAUCGGGGCAGGGUGAGUCGACCCCUAAGGCGAGGCCGAAAGGCGUAGUCGAUGGGAAACAGGUUAAUAUUCCUGUACUUGGUGUUACUGCGAAGGGGGACGGAGAAGGCUAUGUUGGCCGGGCGACGGUUGUCCCGGUUUAAGCGUGUAGGCUGGUUUUCCAGGCAAAUCCGGAAAAUCAAGGCUGAGGCGUGAUGACGAGGCACUACGGUGCUGAAGCAACAAAUGCCCUGCUUCCAGGAAAAGCCUCUAAGCAUCAGGUAACAUCAAAUCGUACCCCAAACCGACACAGGUGGUCAGGUAGAGAAUACCAAGGCGCUUGAGAGAACUCGGGUGAAGGAACUAGGCAAAAUGGUGCCGUAACUUCGGGAGAAGGCACGCUGAUAUGUAGGUGAAGUCCCUCGCGGAUGGAGCUGAAAUCAGUCGAAGAUACCAGCUGGCUGCAACUGUUUAUUAAAAACACAGCACUGUGCAAACACGAAAGUGGACGUAUACGGUGUGACGCCUGCCCGGUGCCGGAAGGUUAAUUGAUGGGGUUAGCCGCAAGGCGAAGCUCUUGAUCGAAGCCCCGGUAAACGGCGGCCGUAACUAUAACGGUCCUAAGGUAGCGAAAUUCCUUGUCGGGUAAGUUCCGACCUGCACGAAUGGCGUAAUGAUGGCCAGGCUGUCUCCACCCGAGACUCAGUGAAAUUGAACUCGCUGUGAAGAUGCAGUGUACCCGCGGCAAGACGGAAAGACCCCGUGAACCUUUACUAUAGCUUGACACUGAACAUUGAGCCUUGAUGUGUAGGAUAGGUGGGAGGCUUUGAAGUGUGGACGCCAGUCUGCAUGGAGCCGACCUUGAAAUACCACCCUUUAAUGUUUGAUGUUCUAACGUUGACCCGUAAUCCGGGUUGCGGACAGUGUCUGGUGGGUAGUUUGACUGGGGCGGUCUCCUCCUAAAGAGUAACGGAGGAGCACGAAGGUUGGCUAAUCCUGGUCGGACAUCAGGAGGUUAGUGCAAUGGCAUAAGCCAGCUUGACUGCGAGCGUGACGGCGCGAGCAGGUGCGAAAGCAGGUCAUAGUGAUCCGGUGGUUCUGAAUGGAAGGGCCAUCGCUCAACGGAUAAAAGGUACUCCGGGGAUAACAGGCUGAUACCGCCCAAGAGUUCAUAUCGACGGCGGUGUUUGGCACCUCGAUGUCGGCUCAUCACAUCCUGGGGCUGAAGUAGGUCCCAAGGGUAUGGCUGUUCGCCAUUUAAAGUGGUACGCGAGCUGGGUUUAGAACGUCGUGAGACAGUUCGGUCCCUAUCUGCCGUGGGCGCUGGAGAACUGAGGGGGGCUGCUCCUAGUACGAGAGGACCGGAGUGGACGCAUCACUGGUGUUCGGGUUGUCAUGCCAAUGGCACUGCCCGGUAGCUAAAUGCGGAAGAGAUAAGUGCUGAAAGCAUCUAAGCACGAAACUUGCCCCGAGAUGAGUUCUCCCUGACUCCUUGAGAGUCCUGAAGGAACGUUGAAGACGACGACGUUGAUAGGCCGGGUGUGUAAGCGCAGCGAUGCGUUGAGCUAACCGGUACUAAUGAACCGUGAGGCUUAACCUUACAACGCCGAAGGUGUUU